rnacentral:rRNA from 1 species
GAUGAACGCUAGCGGCAGGCCUAAUACAUGCAAGUCGAACGGGAUCCAGAUCAAAGCUUGCUUUGGUCUGGUGAGAGUGGCGCACGGGUGCGUAACGCGUGAGCAACCUACCCUUGUCAAGGGGAUAGCCCGGCGAAAGUCGGAUUAAUACCGCAUGACAUCAUUGAGAGGCAUCUUUCGAUGAUCAAAGAUUUAUCGGACAAGGAUGGGCUCGCGUGACAUUAGCUAGUUGGUAAGGUAACGGCUUACCAAGGCUGCGAUGUCCAGGGGCUCUGAGAGGAGAAUCCCCCACACUGGUACUGGGACACGGACCAGACUCCUACGGGAGGCAGCAGUAAGGAAUAUUGGUCAAUGGACGGAAGUCUGAACCAGCCAUGCCGCGUGCAGGAAGACGGCCCUAUGGGUUGUAAACUGCUUUUAUACGGGAACAAACGUCGGUACGUGUACCGGUCUGAGUGUACCGUAAGAAUAAGGAUCGGCUAACUCCGUG